rnacentral:miRNA from 1 species
GUUCGCGACGACCGGUAUACUUG